AGAGUUUGAUUAUGGCUCAGGAUGAACGCUGGCGGCGUGCUUAACACAUGCAAGUCGAACGGAGUUUAGAUGAAAGCUUGCUUUGACUAAACUUAGUGGCGGACGGGUGAGUAACGCGUGGGUAACCUGCCUUAUACAGGGGGAUAACAGUCGGAAACGACUGCUAAUACCGCAUAAGCGCACGGAAUCGCAUGAUUCAGUGUGAAAAGAUUUAUCGGUAUAAGAUGGACCCGCGUCUGAUUAGCUAGUUGGUGAGGUAACGGCCCACCAAGGCGACGAUCAGUAGCCGGCCUGAGAGGGUGAACGGCCACAUUGGGACUGAGACACGGCCCAAACUCCUACGGGAGGCAGCAGUGGGGAAUAUUGCACAAUGGGGGAAACCCUGAUGCAAGCGACGCCGCGUGAGUGAAGAAGUAUUUCGGUAUGUAAAGCUCUAUCAGCAGGGAAGAAAAUGACGGUACCUGACUAAGAAGCCCCGGCUAACUACGUGCCAGCAGCGGC
rnacentral:rRNA from 1 species